rnacentral:rRNA from 1 species
AGAGUUUGAUCAUGGCUCAGAUUGAACGCUGGCGGCGGGCCUAACACAUGCAAGUCGAACGGUAACAGGAAGCAGCUUGCUGCUUCGCUGACGAGUGGCGGACGGGUGAGUAAUGUCUGGGAAGCUGCCUGAUGGAGGGGGAUAACUACUGGAAACGGUAGCUAAUACCGCAUAAUGUCGCAAGACCAAAGAGGGGGACCUUCGGGCCUCUUGCCAUCGGAUGUGCCCAGAUGGGAUUAGCUUGUUGGUGGGGUAACGGCUCACCAAGGCGACGAUCCCUAGCUGGUCUGAGAGGAUGACCAGCCACACUGGAACUGAGACACGGUCCAGACUCCUACGGGAGGCAGCAGUGGGGAAUAUUGCACAAUGGGCGCAAGCCUGAUGCAGCCAUGCCGCGUGUAUGAAGAAGGCCUUCGGGUUGUAAAGUACUUUCAGCGGGGAGGAAGGGAGUAAAGUUAAUACCUUUGCUCAUUGACGUUACCCGCAGAAGAAGCACCGGCUAACUCCGUGCCAGCAGCCGCGGUAAUACGGAGGGUGCAAGCGUUAAUCGGAAUUACUGGGCGUAAAGCGCACGCAGGCGGUUUGUUAAGUCAGAUGUGAAAUCCCCGGGCUCAACCUGGGAACUGCAUCUGAUACUGGCAAGCUUGAGUCUCGUAGAGGGGGGUAGAAUUCCAGGUGUAGCGGUGAAAUGCGUAGAGAUCUGGAGGAAUACCGGUGGCGAAGGCGGCCCCCUGGACGAAGACUGACGCUCAGGUGCGAAAGCGUGGGGAGCAAACAGGAUUAGAUACCCUGGUAGUCCACGCCGUAAACGAUGUCGACUUGGAGGUUGUGCCCUUGAGGCGUGGCUUCCGGAGCUAACGCGUUAAGUCGACCGCCUGGGGAGUACGGCCGCAAGGUUAAAACUCAAAUGAAUUGACGGGGGCCCGCACAAGCGGUGGAGCAUGUGGUUUAAUUCGAUGCAACGCGAAGAACCUUACCUGGUCUUGACAUCCACGGAAGUUUUCAGAGAUGAGAAUGUGCCUUCGGGAACCGUGAGACAGGUGCUGCAUGGCUGUCGUCAGCUCGUGUUGUGAAAUGUUGGGUUAAGUCCCGCAACGAGCGCAACCCUUAUCCUUUGUUGCCAGCGGUCCGGCCGGGAACUCAAAGGAGACUGCCAGUGAUAAACUGGAGGAAGGUGGGGAUGACGUCAAGUCAUCAUGGCCCUUACGACCAGGGCUACACACGUGCUACAAUGGCGCAUACAAAGAGAAGCGACCUCGCGAGAGCAAGCGGACCUCAUAAAGUGCGUCGUAGUCCGGAUUGGAGUCUGCAACUCGACUCCAUGAAGUCGGAAUCGCUAGUAAUCGUGGAUCAGAAUGCCACGGUGAAUACGUUCCCGGGCCUUGUACACACCGCCCGUCACACCAUGGGAGUGGGUUGCAAAAGAAGUAGGUAGCUUAACCUUCGGGAGGGCGCUUACCACUUUGUGAUUCAUGACUGGGGUGAAGUCGAAACAAGGUAACCGUAGGGGAACCUGCGGUUG